AAUCAACGCUGGCGGCGUGCCUCAGACAUGCAAGUCGAACGAUUAAAGCUCUCUUCGGAGAGUGCAUAGAGUGGCGCACGGGUGAGUAACACGUAAGUAAUCUACCUUCGAGUGGGGAAUAACGUCCGGAAACGGACGCUAAUACCGCAUAAUGCAGCGGCAUCGUAAGAUGACAGUUGUUAAAGAUUUAUCGCUUGAAGAGGAGCUUGCGGCAGAUUAGCUAGUUGGUAAGGUAAUGACUUACCAAGGCUACGAUCGUGUAACCGGUCUUAGAGGACGGUCGGUCACACUGACACUGAAUAACGGGUCAGACUCCUACGGAGGCAGCAGUCGGGAAUUUUGGGCAAUGGGCGAAAGCCUGACCCAGCAACGCCGCGUGAAGGAUGAAGUAUUUCGGUAUGUAAACUUCGAAAGAAUAGGAAGAAUAAAUGACGGUACUAUUUAUAAGGUCCGGCUAACUACGUGCCAGCAGCCGCGGUAAU
rnacentral:rRNA from 1 species